UACGGAGGGUGCAAGCGUUAUCCGGAUUCACUGGGUUUAAAGGGUGCGUAGGCGGGCAGAUAAGUCAGUGGUGAAAUACCUGAGCUUAACUUGGGAACUGCCAUUGAUACUAUUUGUCUUGAAUGUCGUGGAGGUUAGCGGAAUAUGUCAUGUAGCGGUGAAAUGCUUAGAGAUGACAUAGAACACCUAUUGCGAAGGCAGCUAACUACGCGAAUAUUGACGCUGAGGCACGAAAGCGUGGGGAUCAAACAGG
rnacentral:rRNA from 1 species